rnacentral:rRNA from 1 species
GAUGAACGCUGGCGGCGUGCCUAAUACAUGCAAGUCGAGCGAACAGACGAGGAGCUUGCUCCUCUGACGUUAGCGGCGGACGGGUGAGUAACACGUGGAUAACCUACCUAUAAGACUGGGAUAACUUCGGGAAACCGUAGCUAAUACCGGAUAAUAUAUUGAACCGCAUGGUUCAAUAGUGAAAGACGGUUUUGCUGUCACUUAUAGAUGGAUCCGCGCCGCAUUAGCUAGUUGGUAAGGUAACGGCUUACCAAGGCAACGAUGCGUAGCCGACCUGAGAGGGUGAUCGGCCACACUGGAACUGAGACACGGUCCAGACUCCUACGGGAGGCAGCAGUAGGGAAUCUUCCGCAAUGGGCGAAAGCCUGACGGAGCAACGCCGCGUGAGUGAUGAAGGUCUUCGGAUCGUAAAACUCUGUUAUUAGGGAAGAACAAAUGUGUAAGUAACUGUGCACGUCUUGACGGUACCUAAUCAGAAAGCCACGGCUAACUACGUG